rnacentral:rRNA from 1 species
AUUGAACGCUGGCGGCAGGCCUAACACAUGCAAGUCGAACGGUAACAGGAAGAAGCUUGCUUCUUUGCUGACGAGUGGCGGACGGGUGAGUAAUGUCUGGGAAACUGCCUGAUGGAGGGGGAUAACUACUGGAAACGGUAGCUAAUACCGCAUAACGUCGCAAGACCAAAAAGGGGGACCUUCGGGCCUCUUGCCAUCGGAUGUGCCCAGAUGGGUUUAGCUAGUAGGUGGGGUAACGGCCCACCUAGGCGACGAUCCCUAGCUGGUCUGAGAGGAUGACCAGCCACACUGGAACUGAGACACGGUCCAGACUCCUACGGGAGGCAGCAGUGGGGAAUAUUGCACAAUGGGCGCAAGCCUGAUGCAGCCAUGCCGCGUGUAUGAAGAAGGCCUUCGGGUUGUAAAGUACUUUCAGCGGGGAGGAAGGGAGUAAAGUUAAUACCUUUGCUCAUUGACGUUACCCGCAGAAGAAGCACCGGCUAACUCCGUG